UUCUGUGCAGCUCGUGUGACAGAUGCGUCACCUCUGGGCUCACUCUCUCCAAAUGGCUCAUUUCUGUCUCAAAACAAGGUGGCCAAAAGCAGAGCACCAGACUUAUGAUGAAAAUCAGCCCUUCACGGUGAGAACCUGAGAUACUCUUGCUUGAACAAGACGGAUGGGGAACCUCGCCUAGCCGAGGAUGCUGACAUUAAACCUUCAAGCAAUAUUUUUGGGACCUGCCCUGAUCGUGGUUUUGAGUGGCACCACUUUGAAGUGUGCUGGAGCUACCUGAUUCGGAGAGAGUAGAGGAGAGACGGCCAAGGCAACCUGAAGAGUGUUGCUGUGGGAAAUGGCAGUGCAGCUAAUUGAGGCUGGAUCUCCCCUGUGUCUCCUGCUGGAGCUGCAUCCUGUUUGGACCAUGGGAUUUGAUGCUACACGGAGCUGAAAGGAAGGUGCUGCUCUCCAAACUUUGAGCGAGGUGACCCGUAUCACUUGCUAACUUCUCAUGGACACCUUGGCCAGACUCAGUCAACUUCUGAAGAGGGAGAAAAAGACAAAGAGUUUACGAUUGCCCUUAG